CCGUGAGCUUCGGGCUGCCGCUCAGGCCUCGUCUCGGCCUCUGAGCGCGUCCACCUUCACGUCCCCGUCCGUGUCGUCCCAGGCCCGAAGACCUGCACCCCACCUGCGCGCCCGACGCUGUGCUGGGCCCUGGGAGCCAAAGCCUGAUCUAGUCGCCCUUGGUGCUGUGGAACAUGUUUAUGCCAUCAUACAAUCUCUGGACUUGCACCUUUGUACAAGCUGCUGGAGGAGUCGGCCAGUGGGUGGCAUUUGAAUUUGGCCUAGAACACCACAUCUCAUGACCUGUUCCCCUCACCGUCCACGUGGGGCACUUCCCAGUACAUCAGGACCCGCUCUGGGGGUGCAGAGGAUGGUAGGAUCAUACUCCACUGGGAAAAUCAAGGAUGGCAUCACUGACAGAUAACACCAGAGCUUGGGAGUGGGAACUCCUGUGAGGGGCCUGCAGGCAGGAGAUCACCUUCUGACUCUCCAUUUUGCCAGGACGGAUAGUGAGACUGGCCAGGCUGCCGUGGAAG